AUUGAACGCUGGCGGCAUGCCUUACACAUGCAAGUCGAACGGCAGCGGACCUUCGGGUGCCGGCGAGUGGCGAACGGGUGAGUAAUAUAUCGGAACGUACCUUUCAGUGGGGGAUAACGUAGCGAAAGUUACGCUAAUACCGCAUAUUCUGUGAGCAGGAAAGCAGGGGAUCGCAAGACCUUGCGCUGAUUGAGCGGCCGAUAUCAGAUUAGCUAGUUGGUGAGGUAAAGGCUCACCAAGGCGACGAUCUGUAGCGGGUCUGAGAGGAUGAUCCGCCACACUGGAACUGAGACACGGUCCAGACUCCUACGGGAGGCAGCAGUGGGGAAUUUUGGACAAUGGGCGCAAGCCUGAUCCAGCCAUGCCGCGUGAGUGAAGAAGGCCUCGGUUGUAAAGCUCUUUCGGUCCGGGAAGAAAGUACGCACAGGUUAAUACCCUGUGUGGAUGACGGUACCGG
rnacentral:rRNA from 1 species